ACAUGCAAGUCGAGCGGACUAAUGGCAGCUUGCUCCGUUAUGUCAACGGCGGACGGGUGAAUAACACUUGGGUAACCUGCCUGUAACACUGGAAUAACUCCGGGAAACCGGGGCUAAUACCGGAUGCUUGAUUGAACCGCAUGGUUCAAUUAAUAAACGUGGCUUUUAGCUACCACUUACGAAUGGACCCGCGGCGCAUUACCUAGUUGGUGAGGUAACGGCUCACCAAGGCAACGAUGCAUACCCGACCUGAGAGGGUGAUCGGCCACACUGGGACUGAAACACGGCCCAAACUCCUACGGGAGGCACCAGUAGGGAAUCUUCCGCAAUGGACGAAAGUCUGACGGAGCAACGCCGCGUGAGUGAUGAAGGUUUUCGGAUCGUAAAACUCUGUUGUUAGGGAAAAACAAGUACCGUUGAAAUAGGGCGGUACCUUGACGGUACCUAACCAGAAAGCCACGGCUAACUACGUGCCAGCAGCCGCGGUAAAACGAAGGUGGCAAGCGUUGUCCGGAAUUAUUGGGCGUAAAACGCGCGCAGGCGGUUUCUUAAGUCU
rnacentral:rRNA from 1 species